UAACCCCUCAAGCCUGGCUUGGUGUUGGGGCCUGCUGUUCGCGGCAGCCCUUAAAAUCAGUGGCGGUGCCAUCUGGCUCUAAGCGUAGUAAUACUUCUCGCUACAGGGUCCCGGUGGAUGCUUGCCAUCAACCCCUAACUUUCUAU
rnacentral:misc_RNA from 1 species